rnacentral:rRNA from 1 species
ACUGGGAUAACUUCGGGAAACCGAAGCUAAUACCGGAUAGGAUCUUCUCCUUCAUGGGAGAUGAUUGAAAGAUGGUUUCGGCUAUCACUUACAGAUGGGCCCGCGGUGCAUUAGCUAGUUGGUGAGGUAACGGCUCACCAAGGCAACGAUGCAUAGCCGACCUGAGAGGGUGAUCGGCCACACUGGGACUGAGACACGGCCCAGACUCCUACGGGAGGCAGCAGUAGGGAAUCUUCCGCAAUGGACGAAAGUCUGACGGAGCAACGCCGCGUGAGUGAUGAAGGCUUUCGGGUCGUAAAACUCUGUUGUUAGGGAAGAACAAGUACGAGAGUAACUGCUCGUACCUUGACGGUACCUAACCAGAAAGCCACGGCUAACUACGUGCCAGCAGCCGCGGUAAUACGUAGGUGGCAAGCGUUAUCCGGAAUUAUUGGGCGUAAAGCGCGCGCAGGCGGUUUCUUAAGUCUGAUGUGAAAGCCCACGGCUCAACCGUGGAGGGUCAUUGGAAACUGGGGAACUUGAGUGCAGAAGAGAAAAGCGGAAUUCCACGUGUAGCGGUGAAAUGCGUA